rnacentral:rRNA from 1 species
CAGCAGCCGCGGUAAUACAGAGGGUGCGAGCGUUAAUCGGAUUUACUGGGCGUAAAGCGUGCGUAGGAGGCUUCUUAAGUCGGAUGUGAAAUCCCUGAGCUUAACUUAGGAAUUGCAUUCGAUACUGGGAAGCUAGAGUAUGGGAGAGGAUGGUAGAAUUCCAGGUGUAGCGGUGAAAUGCGUAGAGAUCUGGAGGAAUACCGAUGGCGAAGGCAGCCAUCUGGCCUAAUACUGACGCUGAGGUACGAAAGCAUGGGGAGCAAACAGGAUUAGAUACCCCCGUGUCCCUGUCUCUUAUACA